rnacentral:rRNA from 1 species
CUUAAAUUGAAGAGUUUGAUCAUGGCUCAGAUUGAACGCUGGCGGCAGGCCUAACACACGC